GCCUCCGUAGCUCAGCGGUAGAGCGUCUGUUUCGUAAACAGAAGGUCGCGAGUUCAAAUCUCGCCGGGGGCU
rnacentral:tRNA from 1 species